UACGUAGGGUGCGAGCGUUGUCCGGAAUUACUGGGCGUAAAGCGUGCGUAGGCGGUUCGUUAUGUCUGCUGUGAAAGCCCCGGGCUUAACCUGGGAAUGGCAGUGGAAACUGGCGGGCUUGAGUGUGGCAGAGGGGGGUGGAAUUCCGCGUGUAGCAGUGAAAUGCGUAGAGAUGCGGAGGAACACCUGUGGCGAAAGCGGCUCACUGGACCACAACUGACGCUGAGGCGCGAAAGCGUGGGGAGCAAACAGG
rnacentral:rRNA from 1 species